rnacentral:rRNA from 1 species
GACGAACGCUGGCGGCGUGCCUAAUACAUGCAAGUAGAACGCUGAAGAGAGGAGCCUGCUCUUCUUGGAUGAGUUGCGAACGGGUGAGUAACGCGUAGGUAACCUGCCUUGUAGCGGGGGAUAACUAUUGGAAACGAUAGCUAAUACCGCAUAACAAUGGAUGACACAUGUCAUUUAUUUGAAAGGGGCAAUUGCUCCACUACAAGAUGGACCUGCGUUGUAUUAGCUAGUAGGUGAGGUAACGGCUCACCUAGGCGACGAUACAUAGCCGACCUGAGAGGGUGAUCGGCCACACUGGGACUGAGACACGGCCCAGACUCCUACGGGAGGCAGCAGUAGGGAAUCUUCGGCAAUGGGGGCAACCCUGACCGAGCAACGCCGCGUGAGUGAAGAAGGUUUUCGGAUCGUAAAGCUCUGUUGUAAGUCAAGAACGAGUGUGAGAGUGGAAAGUUCACACUGUGACGGUAGCUUACCAGAAAGGGACGGCUAACUACGUGCCAGCAGCCGCGGUAAUACGUAGGUCCCGAGCGUUGUCCGGAUUUAUUGGGCGUAAAGCGAGCGCAGGCGGUUUGAUAAGUCUGAAGUUAAAGGCUGUGGCUCAACCAUAGUUCGCUUUGGAAACUGUCAAACUUGAGUGCAGAAGGGGAGAGUGGAAUUCCAUGUGUAGCGGUGAAAUGCGUAGAUAUAUGGAGGAACACCGGUGGCGAAAGCGGCUCUCUGGUCUGUAACUGACGCUGAGGCUCGAAAGCGUGGGGAGCGAACAGGAUUAGAUACCCUGGUAGUCCACGCCGUAAACGAUGAGUGCUAGGUGUUGGAUCCUUUCCGGGAUUCAGUGCCGCAGCUAACGCAUUAAGCACUCCGCCUGGGGAGUACGACCGCAAGGUUGAAACUCAAAGGAAUUGACGGGGGCCCGCACAAGCGGUGGAGCAUGUGGUUUAAUUCGAAGCAACGCGAAGAACCUUACCAGGUCUUGACAUCCCGAUGCUAUUUCUAGAGAUAGAAAGUUACUUCGGUACAUCGGUGACAGGUGGUGCAUGGUUGUCGUCAGCUCGUGUCGUGAGAUGUUGGGUUAAGUCCCGCAACGAGCGCAACCCCUAUUGUUAGUUGCCAUCAUUCAGUUGGGCACUCUAGCGAGACUGCCGGUAAUAAACCGGAGGAAGGUGGGGAUGACGUCAAAUCAUCAUGCCCCUUAUGACCUGGGCUACACACGUGCUACAAUGGUUGGUACAACGAGUUGCGAGUCGGUGACGGCAAGCUAAUCUCUUAAAGCCAAUCUCAGUUCGGAUUGUAGGCUGCAACUCGCCUACAUGAAGUCGGAAUCGCUAGUAAUCGCGGAUCAGCACGCCGCGGUGAAUACGUUCCCGGGCCU